rnacentral:rRNA from 1 species
UACGUAGGGUCCGAGCGUUGUCCGGAAUUAUUGGGCGUAAAGAGCUCGUAGGCGGCUUGUCGCGUCUGUCGUGAAAGCUCAGGGCUUAACUCUGAGUUUGCGGUGGAUACGGGCAGGCUUGAGGCAAGUAGGGGAACGGAAUCCAUGUGUAGCGGUGAAUAGCGCAGAUAUGUGGAGGAACACCGGUGGCGAAGGCGGUUCUCUGGCGUUGUUCUGACGCUGAUGAGCGAAAGCGUGGGGAGGCGAACAGGAUUAGAUACG